rnacentral:pre_miRNA from 1 species
AGUGCAAUUGUUGCAUCAUAUGGUAGUUGCAUUUUUUUUUUUAAAGAAACUUUCACAUUGUUUUCCAGAAUGGCUAUACCAUUUUACAUUUCCACCAGCAAU